UGAGGAAUAUUGGUCAAUGGGCGCGAGCCUGAACCAGCCAAGUCGCGUGAGGGAGGACGGCCCUACGGGUUGUAAACCUCUUUUGCCGGGGAGCAACGGGCGUCACGUGUGGCGCCACUGAGAGUACCCGGAGAAAAAGCAUCGGCUAACUCCGUGCC
rnacentral:rRNA from 1 species